rnacentral:rRNA from 1 species
CCUACGGGCGGCAGCAGUGGGGAAUUUUGCGCAAUGCUCGUAAGAGUGACGCAGCGACGCCGCGUGAAUGACGAAGGACUUCGGGUCGUAAAGCUCUUUCGACAGGGAAGAAAAUGCUUACAAGUAACUGCGUAUGUACUGACGGUACCUGUAUAAGCAGACCCGGCUAACUCCGUGCCAGCAGCCGCGGUAAUACGGAGGGGGCGAGCGUUGUUCGGAGUGACUGGGCGUAAAGAUUGCGUAGGCGGUGUUGUAAGUCAUUAGUCAAAGACUAGAGCUCAACUUUAGUAAGGCUAGUGAAACUAUAGAACUUGAGUAUCAGAGAGGAUUGCAGAAUUCCUGGUGUAGCGGUGAAAUGCGUAGAUAUCAGGAGGAAUACCGUUAGCGAAGGCGGCAAUCUGGCUGGAAACUGACGCUGAGGUGCGAAAGCGUGGGUAGCAAACAGGAUUAGAUACCCUUGUAGUC